GUUUUUGAGAAUCUCACCUCCUUGGUUAGUUUUCAUUGUCAUUUCAGUUGAAUGGUAAAAGCAAUGUGAUUCUUGCAUGGUAUGAGAAUGAUUCUUGAUGAGAAUACUUUGCAGUUCUGGGGACAUGUCACAUGACUAUCUAAAAACCUCAAUAACAUAGUAAAGUCUCGUAUACUAUUUGUAAUCCCUCUUCUUUUCUUGCGUUCUCUGUUUUUGAGUAUCAGUUUAUAGAAGCUUUUCUUAUAAAAUCCUUUAUCAGCUGAAAUCUAACUUGUAUUAGGGAAUAUGAGAUUCUCUAAAAAAAACUCCCUGGCUGUAUCGUUACCUGCAAAACUCUUAAAAAGCCAUUCUUUAGGUGAUUACGUACUAUUUCUUCCAUUUGAGACCUACAAUUAUGUGUCUGCUCUGAAAUGCCUUCUUGUCGGUCCACUUUUUGUAAUAGGCUCAUUUAUCAACUAUGAUCAGGUGAUAAGAAAGAGAAAGGUUUGUGAUUAUCCUUCUGUCACCAUGUUUCACUUGUCUUCAUAUGCUUAAGAACAAAAACAAACAUAUUUUCCAUAGAGUUGUUUGACGGUUUUUACAGGUUUGAUAAAUUCAAGCCUCCGAUCAAGCCAAGUUGAGAAUUUACGAAAGUAGUAUACUAAAGAAAAAGCCAGAGAUCAGUUAGUCAUUCUUUUUGGCCUUGAUACUGAAGUUCUGUGGAAUGAUGCUAGGUAGAAGAAGCAUAAACCUGUUCAUAUGCAUCAUAUGCAUGCAGGCCAAGUUGGACAAGAUGAAUAUUAAAAAGGAAAAGACAGAGGAUUAGCUGAAGGGGGAGGAACUAGAGACGGUUAAGGUGGAGCUGACCAAUCUUAAAAAGAUAAAGGAAUUCCAACCUAACAUGGUGAUAGAUGAUUGUGUUUGUUUGAAAUAAUUGACACUACAAGCUCUCUAACUUUUGGAGCAUGCUAGAAAAUGUAGUGAGCGACUCAGCACAUCCACUUUAAAAAGAAGUGUUGCACACUUGGAUAUGUGAAGAAAGCAUUUGAUCUUAUUAGAGAGAUAUGUAAAGAUUAGAGUGUAUAUAAUCAAAUGUUUUAUAUUGUCAAUCCGUGUGUGGAUUAUUUAUUUUUCUUUAAGAUAUCAAGAAAGUGCUUAUAUCUGGAAUAGAACAUAAGGGUACUCAUGCUCUUUACUUUAUUUUACAUUAAUUUUUUGUUGAUUUU